GCAAGCAAGCUAUGAAAUAUUUGAACAGCAAAGCUAUAAAGUGUCCAAAAAUAAUUACUAUAGAUUCAUUUAUUUUUCCUGGUUUGAGGAAAACUUGAAUAUUCUCCUGUACCCACGAAAUCAACGAAAAUUGGUAUCCAACGAAUAUUAAUGAAUCCACAGUAGUAUGAAAGAAGUCAAACAGGAAAACCAACAAUAUAAAAAUUGGUAAACUAUAAAAUGAACCAUAUCAACAAACACUGGACAACAGAGUACUGAC
rnacentral:lncRNA from 1 species